UCAAGUAGGGAUGCAAAUGAUCAAUUAAUCCAUUAAUCAUUAGUUGGUUGACCUGAUCGAUCGAUUAAUGAUUAAUUGAUAAGCGGCGACUUUCCUGAGAACCUGAAUUCCUCCUUCAAAGUG